rnacentral:rRNA from 1 species
CCUACGGGAGGCAGCAGUGGGGGAUAUUGCACAAUGGAGGAAACUCUGAUGCAGCGACGCCGCGUGGGCGAAGAAGUAUUUCGGUAUGUAAAGUCCUAUCAGCAGGGAUGAAGAAAUGACGGUUCCUCAGUAAGAAGCACAGGCUAAAUACGUGCCAGCAGGCGCGGUAAUACGUAUGGUGCAAGCGUUAUCCGGAUGUACUGGGUGGAAAGGGAGCGCAGGCGGCACAGCAAGCCUGAUGUGAAAGCCCGCGGCCCAACCUCGGGACUACAGGGAGAACUACCAGGCUAGAGUGCCGGAGAGGUAAGCGGAAUUCCUAGUGUAGCGGUGGAAUGCGUAGAUAUUAGGAGGAACACCAGUGGCGAAGGCGACCUACUGGACGGUGACUGACGCUGAGGCUCGAAAGCGUGGGGAGCAAACAGGAUUAGAUACCCGAGUAGUC